UUCUGUAGCCAUACCACCCUGAACAUGCCCGAUCUCAUCUGAUCUUGGAAGCUAAGCAGGGUCUGGCCUGGUUAGUACUUGGAUGGGAGGCCAUAUUUCCUUCUUAUAGCUAAAU
ensembl:rRNA 5S_rRNA 5S ribosomal RNA